AUGCGUGGUCUGCAGCUGCCGCUCCUUCAAGUUGCCCUUUGCUGCGCAAAGGACCUCAAUCUCGUCCGCUGCGUCGGGGAUCUUGGGCAUGCGGUUUCCCCCACGGACGGCGGGCAUGCUGUUUUCCCCGCGGGCAGCAUCCUCAAAGUCUGCAACAUCGGCGGGUGGGGAGGCGCACCCUUCCUCGUCAGUCUCCAUCACAAGCCCUCCACUCUUUCCUGUGAUGUGCAGACCAAUAGCAGUCCGGCGGGGAAAAGCCAGGGUGUCACCGACAGGAGCGCACCGCGUAGCACCACUGCUUUCCGCCGCCGGCCGCCGCGAGGGCGCCUCUGCUGGUCGCUCUUGUGA
rnacentral:rRNA from 1 species